AACGAACGCUGGCGGCAGGCUUAACACAUGCAAGUCGAACGCCCCUUUCGGGGGGAGUGGCAGACGGGUGAGUAACACGUGGGAACGUGCCCUUCAGUUCGGAAUAACCCAGGGAAACUUGGGCUAAUACCGGAUACGCCCUUACGGGGAAAGAUUUAUCGCUGAAGGAUCGGCCCGCGUCUGAUUAGCUAGUUGGUGAGGUAAGGGCUCACCAAGGCGACGAUCAGUAGCUGGUCUGAGAGGAUGAUCAGCCACACUGGGACUGAGACACGGCCCAGACUCCUACGGGAGGCAGCAGUGGGGAAUAUUGAACAAUGGGCGCAAGCCUGAUCCAGCCAUGCCGCGUGAGUGAUGAAGGCCUUAGGGUUGUAAAGCUCUUUCGGCGGGGACGAUAAUGACGGUACCCGCAGAAGAAGCCCCGGCUAACUUCGUGCCAGCCGCCGCGGUAAUAC
rnacentral:rRNA from 1 species